rnacentral:rRNA from 1 species
GACGAACGCUGGCGGCGUGCCUAAUACAUGCAAGUCGAGCGCAGGAAGCUGACGGAACUCUUCGGAGGGAAAGCAGUGGAAUGAGCGGCGGACGGGUGAGUAACACGUAAGGAACCUGCCUCAAGGAUUGGGAUAACUCCGAGAAAUCGGAGCUAAUACCGGAUAGUUCAACGGACCGCAUGGUCCGCUGAUGAAAGGCGCUCCGGCGUCACCUUGAGAUGGCCUUGCGGUGCAUUAGCUAGUUGGUGGGGUAACGGCUCACCAAGGCGACGAUGCAUAGCCGACCUGAGAGGGUGAUCGGCCACACUGGGACUGAGACACGGCCCAGACUCCUACGGGAGUCAGCAGUAGGGAAUCUUCCACAAUGGACGAAAGUCUGAUGGAGCAACGCGGCGUGAGUGAUGAAGGUUUUCGGAUCGUAAAACUCUGUUGUAAGGGAAGAACACGUACGAGAGGAAAUGCUCGUACCUUGACGGUACCUUACGAGAAAGCCACGGCUAACUACGUGCCAGCCGCCGCCGUAACAC